GAUGAACGCUGGCGGCGUGCCUAAUACAUGCAAGUCGAGCGAACAGACGAGGAGCUUGCUCCUCUGACGUUAGCGGCGGACGGGUGAGAAACACGUGGAUAACCUACCUAUCAGACUGGGAUCACUUCGGGAAACCGGAGCUAAUACCGGAUAAUAUAUUGCACCGCAUGGUUCAAUAGUGAAAGACGGCUUUGCUGUCACUUAUAGAUGGAUCCGCGCCGGAUUAGCUAGUUGGUAAGGUAACGGCUUACCAAGGGGACUAUGCGUAGCCGACCUGUGAGGGUGAUCGGCCACACUGGAACGGAGACACGGUCCAGGCUCCUACGGGAGGCAGCAGUAGGGAAUCUUCCGCAAUGGGCGAAAGCUUGACGGAGCAACGCCGCGUGAGUGAUGAAGGUCUUCGGAUCGUAAAACUCUGUUAUUAGGGAAGAACAAAUGUGUAAGUAACUAUGCACGUCUUGACGGUACCUAAUCAGAAAGCCACGGCUAACUACGUG
rnacentral:rRNA from 1 species